GAUGAAGAACGUAGCGGAAUGCGAUAAGUAAUGUGAAUUUCAGAAUUCAGUGAAUCAUCGAAUCUUUGAACGCACAUUGCGCCCGCCAGCACUCUGGCGGGCAUGCCUGUUCGAGCGUCAUUUCAACCAUCAAGCCCCCAGGGGCUUGUGCUGGGGCCCUGCGGCUGCCCGCAGGCCCUGAAAACCAGUGGCGGGCUCGCUAGUCACACCGAGCGCAGUAGCACAUCUCGCUCAGGGCGUGCGGCGGGCUCCUGCCGUGAAACCCCCCACUGUAACCCCAAAGGUUGACCUCGGAUCAGGUAGGAAUACCCGCUGAACUUAAGCAUAUCAAUAAGCGGAGGA
rnacentral:misc_RNA from 1 species